rnacentral:tRNA from 2 species
GCGUUUUUCAGUAAGUACCACUGCUAUCGACCCACGAUACACCUGACUCUUAAUCAGCGGGUCCGGGGUUCGAAACCCUGACGGCGCACCA